rnacentral:tRNA from 1 species
AAGCAAGAAGCGAAAAAUCGCAAUCAGUUUCGACCUGAUUACAUAGGUAAUAAUUAUACCCUUACUUU